rnacentral:rRNA from 1 species
UACAGAGGGUGCGAGCGUUAAUCGGAAUUACUGGGCGUAAAGCGUGCGUAGACGGCUAUCUAAGUCGGGAGUGAAAGCCCGGGGCUCAACCCCGGAACGUCUUUCGAAACUGCCGAGCUAGAGUGCGGAAGGGGCAACUGGAAUUCCCAGUGUAGCGGUGAAAUGCGUAGAUAUUGGGAAGAACACCUGAGGCGAAGGCGGGUUGCUGGGCCGACACUGACGCUGAGGCGCGAAAGCCAGGGGAGCGAACGGG